UUAAGAAAAUGUUUUAAUUAACUUAAUUGAGUUAGGUGUUCCCUGAUCCAUAGUGCUUAAUUACUUAAGGACUUAGAUAACAGCUAGUAGUUUUCGCAAGUUAUAGCCUAAUUCAGAAAAUACUCUUCCACUAAAAUUAGGAGACUUUGGAUAAUUAAAUGAACAAAAGAUUUUUCUUUCUUUUUUUUAAGGGGAGAAAAUGACCGAAAAUAUAAAAAAAAUUAGAAUUUAGGGGUGCUAAUUACAUGGUUUGCAAUAGUGGUCCAUUCUUAGAGGAAAUUAGAACUCAGCCAAAUUAAAGUAAUCAAAUGUUCAAAACAACUUUUGAAAAAAUAAAAGUUAAUUAUUAGUGCUAAAAAGGAAACCAACAGGAUCAUCAUUUUUGUGUCAUUUCCCUUUGUCUUUUCUAAAUAUCUCUAUUUCUGAAGCAAAAGUCCAACUACUUUUGGUGUGAUAGAAAGCCAAAAAUAUUUUUAAUAAAAUCUUUUGUGAGAUAUUUCCUAGCAACACGCAUUCUUUUCUACCGUCGAAUAACAUCGAUGACGCUCUAGAUUUGAAAAAGCACUAUCUUAUGGUAGGAGAAGAUGCAUCGAAGACUCAAAACUUGUUUGAUACAUAAACCUUUUUACCUUUUACUUUUUAGGAAAAGGAAAAGAUAUUCUUUGCCCUUUUUAUUCCGUAGGAACAAGUAUAAAAUGCCUCAUCUCAACAAGGAAGAUAUAGUGGAUAAGCAUUAAAGUCAAAAGAUUGAGUAGUUACAUGGCAAAGUCACAAACUACAACGUGCUAAAACUGCACCAAGAGGGGGUUUAAUUACAAGUUAGGUGUGGGAAGCUACUUGAAGAAGUCCAAACAAUUAAAGGAUCGUGGAGGGAGUUAUACUUAGCUUGCACACAUCCUGUUGUACUUCUCAAUCAUCAUUCAUCAUCAUCAUCAACUCAUCACCCAUUCAUCAUUAUCAACUCAAUCAAUUGCUUACUUGGUUUUGUUGCUUGAGGGGUAAGAACUGCUUACUCACUGUCCUUCCCCCCCAAAAGUGCUUUUCGCAAUCAAUCACAGUGAAAGAGACCGCAGUUUUGAGUAACUGGAGGAAUGUAUGCGUUCCAGGGGGUACUUUAGUGAAUUAGUAGUAGUUUAUGUUUUGCCGCCACGUGGAGCUCGUGCCGACGACUUUUUCCUUUUUUUUUUUUCCAAAUUUUAUGUGCAUAAUGUUUUUUAGGCCAUCGUUUGGUUCGGAGUUAAGAAAAAAUAGCUAUUCCAGAAAUAUGAAUAAGUUCAGAGUUAAAAUGGUGUUAAAAUUUUUUUGUGUUUGGUUGGAGGUUGGAGUUAGUCUAGGAUAGUGAAAAAAAGUGUUUGGUUGGAGUAGAUGGGAUAAGAAGAUAAUGAUUGAUAAAGAAGAAAAAGGUGAGGGAUCGGAAUGCGUGCGGGGUUAAAGUUGGGAGGGGAGUGGGGUUAAUGAUUGAUAAAGAAGAAAAAGGUGAGGGCUCGAAAUGUGUGCGGGGUUAAAAUUGGGAGGGGGAGUGGGGUUAGUAAACCCCACUAACCUGGUUUGGGGUGGGGUUUACUAACCCCACCCCUUAAGAGUGGUGUUUGGGUAUAAAUUGGGGGUUAAGGGGUUAUUCCACCCCUUAACCCCCAACUAAACGGUGGCUAGCUGAAUAGUUAUUUUAUGUAAGAAUGAAAUCAAGUCAAUUUUACUGUAAAAAAUCAAAAUGUAAAUGUCACAUCAAUGUCUAUAACUGUUGUAAGUAAGUAGAAGUUAUGAUAAAAAGAUAGAUUUGACUGCAAAGAUAACAUAUACUUGAUUGACUUGUUAUUGACUUUUUGAUAAAAUAAUUAUUACGGUAAUUGGUUUUUGAACUCUUUUUGGAGAAUUUCUAUUUGGAUCCCAUGUAAUAAAGCAGUAAGUAAUUAAAAAUUUUCUGCUCAAUGGAGAUACAAAAAAUUUGAUCAUAUGUUCCUUCAGCCAAUUUCUCUAAUACCGGAGCGUAAGAUAAUAUUGAAAUUUUGGGUAAAUUACACAAAUAGUUCGAACUCUUUUCUGAUUUUUUAACUGAGUCUCCAAUUUAUUGUUUUGUCGGUCAAAUUUUCAAAAUGCAGAAGUUUUUUCAAUUGGUUUUCUAUCGUGAAUCUUCCGUUAUAAUUGAUGGAAGAUGACAUAUAAUUAAUGUGACAUAUAAUGUGAGCACUGACUCGACACUACGUUGUCAUAGUUUUUUGAGUUAGUAACACAACUGUUACCCAAACUUUUUACGACUUUUCAAUUGGGUCUCUAAUUAUUUCUUUUGUCGAUCGAGUCCUCAACCUUUUUUCAAUUUUACUAACUACAACAGUCACUACAAUAAAAACGGUCUAUAGCGACACUUUUAAAUAUAGGUACAUGUCAAAAAAGUGCUGUUAACUAAAAUUACCGACACUUUUAAAAAGUGUUGCUAUAUGUAGGGUCGCUAGGUAUAUAGUGACAGUUAAAGAGUGUCGCUAUAACCUAAAAAAAUGCUGCUAAUUUACCAACACUUAUUUAAGCAUUUAGCAACUGCCGAAACUCUAUCUCGUUAGCUGCGGUGGCGGAGGAGGACGACAGGAAUGGCUCUUCGUCUAGAAUUUCAGUGGAUUGAGUGAAGAGAGAAGAAAAUAUGCUAAUUGAUUUUUCUUUUUUUUUUCUUUUCUAUUUGUAAUCGGGCCAAAUGGACUGGAUGUGGUGGGUUGAGUAGAGAAAUCUUUUAUUUUUGGUUGGAUUGGAGUUUAUAUUUAGGCAUUAGUAGAUGUUUUUUUAAGUUUUAGCAUAAAUGGGACACUUACUCAAAAGUGUCCCAAACAUGUGUACCUAUAACCUAAUUCUGUUGUAGUGAGUACCAUUCUCUAGGCUUCGUUUGGUUCGGAUAUAAGUAAGAACUGUCUAUUUCAGAGAUAAGCUUUGUUUGGUUCAGAUAUAUGCAAGAAUUGUCUAUUCCAGAAAUAUGUAUAAUUAAGUUUGGUUAUAAGUUUGGAAUAGACCAAUUGUAUGUUUGGAUGAAAAUUGAAUUGUUUCCGGGAAUAAGAAAAAUAGCUUUUAGAUAGAUAAAAUAGAAUAAAAAGAAUAGUGAGUAAUUAUAAAUAGAAAAUAAUGAUAUUGCCCCUUAUAUUAUAUUUAAAUUUAAAUUUUUAAAAUUUAAAUUUUAAAUUUUAAUAUAUAACUUUUAAAAUUGAAAAAAUAAAAAAAUUAAAUUGAAAAUUUUAAAUCUCAAAUUUAAAAAUUUAAAGUUUUAAAAUUUAAAUUUAAGAUCAAAUUUAAAUUUAAAAAUAUAAAAUUUUAAAUUUUAAAUUUAAAAAAUUUAAAAUAAUAAUUUAAAAUUAUAAAUAUUAAUUUUAAAAUUACAAUUUAGAAUUUUUUUAAUUUAAAUUUAAAUUUUAAAUUUAAAAAUUAAAUUUGAGUAAGAUUAGUUAAUCCCACCCUAAUUCCAAUGUAGGGGGCGGGGAUUGUUCCCUACUCCUAACGGGUUAAAUAACCAUGUUAAGGGUACCGUGGGAUUAACAAUUCCCACCCCAGAAAUUGUGUUUGGGGAUAAAGAGUGUUUGGGGAUAAAGGGGGAUAAUACCUUAUCCGCCGCCCCCCAAACCAAACGCAAGUGUCAAACUCAAACAAUGUAAGCAUAUUUUUGUCCCAUGUAUUGAUCUUGGCAAGUUUCCCAACUGAGGAAUAUUAUGAUUUAUGACUUUAGGUUUCAAAAAAAAGAAAAGAAGAGAAAAAAAGGGAACAUUAUGACUUCAUGAAACAAGAGAAUUAGAGAGACACUUAACUAUCAUGUAAAUUACAUGCAUCAUUUUAUAACUAUGUAUCUCCAUGGUAUAUAUACAUGUUUUGUUGCCUGAAUUCAUGAAUAGCUUUUCUACUCUGAACAGCAGUUUACAGAAAUUUGAGGAACAAACAUUGAAGUUCUCAAAAAGUUGAAAUGAAUACGUUGCUUUUGUUUACCAUAAAACUUUUUGCUUUGUCUUCGCCCAUGAAUGGUUGAAUACUAAAGUUAUACUACAUGUCUUUUUUUUCUUUUUUUCUUUUCCCUCUAUUCUCACUGCUCCAUCGUACUCGACAAAUUAGGAACUUUUAUUCUUUGUCGCAACUUAGUGAAGAGUUAUUUGAGAAUUUUAUUUCUAGUUAUUGUUAUUUCUAGUAACUCCAUUUGAAAAUUAAGUAGAUUUUUCGUAGUAGUAAACCUUUCUUGCAUCCCAUGUGCUAGCUAGUGAGGGUCACUUUUAAUUCAAAGCAGUUCACAAUUUGAGUUUGGAUUCAAAAAGCUAUGGAGAGAGUACUACCAAAUUCUAAACCCAAAAUAGAGGCUAAAAGUUUUUAUAUGAUCACCUCUACACACAAAACCAGGUCUAAUAAUCUGUAUGAACGGAGCUGAUUUUGUUGGAAUUUUGAUUUGACUUGGUUGGUUGGUUCAUCCGUUGAAUCCAAAUUUUAAUAAAGACCUCUUUUGAAAACUUAAAAAAAAAAAGGAAUUUGGCUAUAACAAAACUUAAUUUUUGCUUUAGUUAUCUAAAAAUACUUUUAAUGCUAGAAAAAGCAACUUAAAAUUUAAAAAAGCCAGAAAAAUUUCAAGGUGUAAUAAUACUAAAGUAGUUGGCAUCUAAAUUUUUUUUUUUUAAAAAAAAAAAAAACUAAAAUCCAGUGACUUUGGUAGAUUUAUAAGUAAAUGGAUUUAAACAACUCAACCACCAGUUUAGUUGCGAAGCUUCUUCAUCACACACCAAGUCAAAGAAAAAAAGGUACAAAAAUUAUUUUUAAUUACUAAGAAGUUAAAAACAACCAUGUGCUUAGCCUUAGCCAUUGAAAUUGACUACGUAUAUGCUGAAACUUCCUAUUCAAAUGAAUUCUCUCGUGCUUCCAAAAGCAUCUCUAAUGCAUUAAUUUGUUAGUUUACUUUUAUUAUUUUUCGUUAAAAAGGUCAUUGAUGACAUCAAAAUACAUGAUGAGAUAAUGGCGUGUGAAAUGGGUCUUAAACUCUUCAAAGUCCUAAAUUGUAAGUCAUGGUCUUUCUUUUACUCUUCUAGAAACACGAGUAGCUAAUUUUUAAAUUGAUAGAGAGAAAAAAAGCCUUUUCCACAAGUUUUUUUUCGUAGAGAGAAUUUUGGUUGACAUUGAGGGCUUGUUUGAUUCAAGGGUGAAAUUAGAAUGGAUAAUGGAAUUGAAAUGAAUUAGAAUGGUAAUUAGAUUGGCCCACUCCCCCAAAACGUUUGGCUCAUUUGUGGAUUGGAAAUUGAAAUGAGUUAUUCCUAUUUCAUUGUUUAGUUCAUAUAAACUAAAAAAUUAUAGGAUACCAUAAUAAUAAUAAUUUAACUCUCAAAUAUAAUUUUAUAUUAUUUAAAAUUUAUGAAAAACAUAAUACUAUUCUCUAAUGAGUUUUCCAAAAAAAAAAAUUCAGAUUUAUUUUUAAAAAUUUUUAUGCAAGAAAAAAAAUUAUAAAAAAUUAUAGGAUAGGUUUUUUUUAGGGGUAAGAGGGGUGAGGGAUAGGGUUUUUUUUUUUUUUGAUGAGAGAGGGGUGAGAGAUCGUAUACAGAGAGAGGAGGGUGAGAUGGUCUCAUGGGCUUCGGGAAUGAAAUCUCAAUCCGGGCGGGGAGACCGGAAUCAAGUUAAAGGCUGAUGGGCCAUUCCCAUUUCAGUCCGGAAUAGAAAUCCCAAACCGAUUCCUGCGAACCAAAAUAAAAUUAAUCGGAUUUGAUCAAACCGAUUUCCAUUCCAUAUUCAAAAUGGAUGAAUUUUGCCGUGGAUUCGGACCAAACAAGCCCUGAGUUCAGAUUUGAUUUGUUUCGAGCUUCUAAGUUUCGAAUUUUGCCGUGGAUUCGGACCCGAAACAAACCCAAUUUUCUAAUGAUUGGGCCAAACCAGGCCUUUUUGGGCCCAAAUUAAGGGUUGGAAUUUGCAUGCUAAUGUGAAUGAGGGUGUAAGCAUUUAUGAGUCUACUAAGGAACUCCGUUCAAGUCCGAGUGGCCAUUUAGGAGACAAUUACCCCAUGAAAGCCAUCUAGAUGUGAAAGUUCCCAGUAAGGAAUAAUUAAAGAAAGAAAGAAAACCAUUAAAACAAAACAAGAUGCGUAAGAUUCUACAAAAGUGCUACUUAGAAAAAAAAACAGUUCAAAAAAUCCAAAAUCUUUCAAUUAGCUUAACAUAUUUUGGCCAAAAUUAGAAGUAUAAAACUCUAAAUUGAAGCAAUUGUGAACAAUGGGGCUUAGCUCAGCUACAGUUAGCCAUUAUACAAACUCACAUAUAGCCCUUGUUUGGAAAACCGAAUAAGAAUUAUACCGAUCUUACGAUUUAGAGUAAUAAGAUAUGACAGUGCAUUUCCCUCUCCAUGAAGCAAAAACCUUGUUUAUACUUCCACUACAAUUUACUUUCACCAAAUCUAAAAUCUAUAUUGAGAAAAAUGAAAAUGAGUGCAAAGAAGCGGAGUAUCCAUAUCUAAGUCGGCAAAUUUUCGUUCAAGUACCGAGAUACCGCAUCUCUCAGUGUAACUCCAUUCUUAUCCGCCGAAUCGCAAAACUGUUGGUUAUAACUCACAUCAUGGUGUUGCGAUAAUGGCACUUCGUCCUUCGCUUUAUCCUCGAUGUCUAUUAUUAUAUUAUGCAGCAAACAGCAAACAAGAAUUAUUCUCGGCAAUCGGUGCUUAUCGGGCCGCCACAUCUCCCCCUGAAGGAACUUCCACAUUUCUUUGAAUCUUGCCAAGGCUUUUCGAGCCACCAUUCCUGUCGCCUUAAGCCGCUCAUUGAAACCGUGUUUGGCUUCUGACGUAAGCUCUCUCCCUCUGUAGGGAGUCAGAAGCCAAGGAAGAAGUGGGUACCCUUCAUCUCCAGCAAUGUACUCUCUUACUUCAGCUCCUGAGAUUUCCAUGCCUUUUCCGUUAAGCCUCAUACCUUUUUCACAUAGUUUAUAAAAGCCCGAGCUUUUUAAAACCACCGGCUUAUUCAUGCUGCCAGGCCAGCCGGUCACUACAUCUCUGAACCUCAUGGAGGGGUCCACAACGGCUUGCAAAAUCAUACUGUGGUUCUUUUCGUAAUCGAGCCACACUUUGCUAUUGGGUUCUGCCGAAGGCAAGCACAUUACAAUGUGCGUGGUGUCAAUGGCUCCGCAGCAGUUUGGGAGGCCGCGGAUUUUUUCGAAUUCGGAUUUUAUGUUUUCCAUUUCUUGAACAUUGGGCCACUUGAGGUGGUGGAGACCGCGCUGCUCCAUGGAUUCGAUGAACCGCCAGGUUAGUUGUGAGACGGUCGAGUGGUUCAAACCGAAUGAUGAGCCGACAUUGACCAGCGAUGAACCUGAGCUUAGCCUUGUUAGGGCAACGGCUACUUGGUCGCUUAUUGAGAGGGGCUUGCCAUCGCCGAAGGUAAAGUGUGAUGUUUUUGCGAUUAAGUCCUCCUUUACUAGUGAGCAUAUGUAGUCAAAUGUCUUUCUUGAGAAUCUGAAGAGACACUCAAAGUGUUGCUUGUCCUUUGAUGAAAAUAAGGGUCCUAGGCAUACAAGAGAGAUAAGAGAUUUAGUAUUCAAAUAUAGAUGGCAAUCAUGUGUAGAAGAACUACACUGAAGUUAGGAAAGUGACAUUAACUAAAAGAGAAAAAGGUAUGAUUCUUUGUCAUUCUAGAAGCUGAUGGCUAGUGCCUACACUGAACUGCUAUGAAGACAAAGUGGAUGGUUUGGAUCCCUAAUUUGCAUCUAUAGUGAUUUCAUGGUUAGAUAAUCAGAAAAAUGAAUUCAUGGUUUGACAUAUUCAACGUGAAGUGUUCGUUUCAAGAUAUUCUUCACAGAAAGCUUGUGAAAUUGUUAUCAGUGACUACUGCACAGAAACAAUGUACACCAUAUAUAGGUCAUUUUUUACUGCUUUUUUUUUGAGAAAAAUCAUUUUUUACUGCUAAAGAUAGAAAUAUAGGACCUACUUCGAAAUAAUUGUACAUUCAAUCACCUCUCACCUUGCAUUUUGUUGCAUAGAAACAGUGUCCUUACAAUGUAUGCAAGUAUUUCAGAUUAGAAAAAAGGAAACGGAAAAUAGUCAUAUUAGUAAGAGAGACUUCAUUUUCUCUUUCUGAAUACAAAAAUAAGCAGCAGCUGGAUAAGGGCUUGAUGGUUGGUACUCGAGAUCACACGUUUGGAGCCUAUUUAUUUUACAUUUCUAGCUGAGCUCAUUUCUAGAAAAAUGAACGAAGCGGAUAACAUACUAUCUUUCUCCCAAAAAAAAUAUAGUAACAUAAAAUAAAAAUAAGCAGCAUAACAAGUUGUAUUGAUAGUUUCAGAAAGGAGAACUAAAGAUGUCAAAAUGAGGGCCCAGAAUAAGUUGGUCACAACCCAAGGACAUUACGGUCCUUGGGUUUCAUAGAAUGCUACCGGGAAAGAUCAAGGGAAAAGUUAAAGCAAUCAAACUUGGGAUUCUUUCACAGGAGGUGUUUUCAACUGCAUUACAGAUUCAACUGCAUGAGAGCCCAAAAAGCUUCUUUGGCACAUUGCAAUUUUAUCCAGAGAGAGCGGUUGGCAUUAUAGAUAAGGCCUAGCUGUUGCGUCUCUACCUAUGCGCAAGUUGAAUGCAGGUGAAAAUACAAUAGUUAAGGAGAGCCAUCCUACAUGGGGAAUAAUCACCACCAGCCCACCUAUCAAAAAACAAGGAAAAAUUUAUCUACAUUGGAGAUAAUCUCAUCACCUUAUGUAUAACAUGACAAUGUCUAUAGAUACAUUGGAGAUAAUCUCAUCGCCCAACGUAUAACAUGACAAGAUUUAUAGAUGCAACUUCCGCCUGCAUCCACCCAAAUAGAAAAAUUAUAGCUGCGCCAGUCUCAACUAUAUAUAACCAAGCCUAGAGGGUGUAAUUGUAACUGCUGCAUGUCCAAUAUUAUGCAUCUCUAAUUAGACAACAUUUAUAAUUAUAUCUAACCGAACAACCCCUUGGUGAUGGUAUGAACAUUCAGGCGGUAGAGAUACCCCACGAUCCAAUAUCUGUGCUGGAAAACAAUAUCGUAUAAUAACAAGCAUAAUCUUGUUUAACUCCUAGAAUGCCAUCAUAUUUUCUACAUGUUGCCUUAUGACUACACAAGUACAAUUAUAAUAUGCGAAUGUUUACUCUUGUAGGUUCUGAUUUUAACUUACAGUCAGAACCUAUAAUAAGUGAUACUGGCUUCCAUUCGUCAGUCAACUUUGCCGUCAUCUCAGGGAUUUCUUUUUUUUAUUUAAAUCAUUGCAAUUUUUUACAGUGGGCAAGAAGAAACACUUACGUAAUCAGAUCAGCAAAAUAUGCAAUUGCAUUUCAGCUGUUUUAUAGUAAGUCAAUUGUCUACCAAAUUAACUUCUACUCUAAAUGUGUGUUUGGCUUGGUUGGAGUUAUGUAGUUUGAGUAGGGCUGUUAUAAAAAACACAAAAGAAUUUUUCAUUGGAAAUUUCUCCAAUUGCUUAUUUAACUUUCCACCACGGAAGAUUUUUAUAUUCUGUUUGCCAAAGGGUUGGCUACUAUUUAUUUACAUAGAGAAGCCAUUCUUACUGAUCCCUAAGAGUCCACCUAUAAGGUCAUAGAUAUCUCCAAGUGCACACCUAAAAAGUGAAAACUUUAUCUACAUGAACAAUCAACACUUAACCUUUUGACUCAAUUAUCCUUGUGACUAGUGGUGAAACAAAAUUUCUAUUUGACUAAGAUUGGAAGACAUUCACUUCGUCCUUAAGAAGGCAAUUUGGUUCACCAAAAUAGAGACCAAGAACAACUAGGAGUACUACUAUGAAGGUUCAAUAUGGGCUUACUUAGCUUGAAAUAGCAGUUUGAUGAUGUCAAAAAUGGAAUAAUCAAUUACAAAAGGCUGCAAAACCACCAUGGAACAAGCGCUUUGAGAUCUAGUUUGACUGGAACAAAGCUAUGGAGUAACUAAUCGUAGAUGAAGUGAUACUCUUAUUCUAGUGUUCCCUAUCUGGCUAAUCUUUUUUACUUAAAAAAUUAUAUAUAUAUUCUCUUAUUGCAGGCAGAAGUGUGCUAGCUAGUGUUUCCUGACUAGAUAAAAGCAUAAUAGUUUCAGAUGUUCUGUAGUGAGAUAUGACAUUACACAUCAUAUACAGAGGAUCAAUCAACAAAAUCACCAUAUCAGCCAACUUUAAUAUAAGAAGAAAUUUACAACUUUGACAUGGAAGGAAAGAGAUCAUAUUGAAUCAUCGCUGACUAAUACUAGAGAGCAUUCAAAGAGCCUUAUCCAUUUGGACAUUGUUAAACCAUUCUUAUGGCAAAAAAUGAAAAGGAACUGCUUUACAUUAAAAUGUAGGAUAAAAAAUGGGGCUUGUUGUCAGUUUUUACAACUUAAAUUGAGCCAUAUAAGAGAAUAAGCAGAAUAAGCAGUCUGUUGAUCAAGUUGUCUGCUUUUACUAUGAUAAAUUAAAGAGCAAAGACCAUCAGAGUUUAAGCCAAGAAUUCAAUAAACCAAAUAUAAACAAAGGUUCAAAAUAUUGCUUUUGGUUAUGGUUUCUGGUAUUCAGGCAAUGAGUGCUUUAAUUGCAGUCUUGGGUUUCGAUUCCCGAUUUCGUUAGAAGAUUCAAAUUUCCGCAAGGACCAAAAGAAAUAUAGAUAAUUGGGUCAGCGUAACAAACAUAUUUUCGCAGCAUUUUGAUAUGCUAAAGGGAUCAGUAAUGCCUCUCUUACUUAGUUACGGAGAACAUGGCUAACUUGCAUUCCGUUGUUUAUUAAAAUAUCAUGUAUGAAAAAAAUAUAAGAUAUCUACAAAUAGAUAAAGACCGGCAUGUGUAAGCUACUUUUGGCCAAUUAUGGCCUACAUACAAAAAAUAAAGCCCUCUUUAGAGUUACUUUCCUUUUAUUGAUUGAUAGACAACUCUUGACACCAAAAGGAGUUGGUUUUGGACUUUCAUUGCAUAAAUCACUGUUUCUAGAAGCAAUGGCAAAUGAAUUGAGACGAUCAUAAUGAUAUCAUCAGCAAAAGAAGUAAAAAAUUGUAAUGCUAGAAAAGAACCACUGUAAGUGUUUUAUUAUGAAAAGAAAACAGAUCCCUCCAUCAAUUGGAAGUAAAUAAAAGCUAAUGGUGGCUUCUCUAGGAAUACAUUGCUUCUGGGGAGAGUCAAAAAAAAUACCUACAUGUUAUCUAUUUGUACUUAAGAAUUCCCUGGAGCAUAAGAGCUACUCUAAAGAAACCGAAUUAAUCCUAAAUAGUAUCCACCAAUCUAUGUCAUCUAUAAGUGUUUUCCAUUUUCAACCUGACAAUUUAUUGCUGAUAAAAAAGAUACAGAUUGAGACUCGAAUUCUUUUUAUACCCGAAAUUUUUUGGAAAGAUCAGCAUAUUCAAUACAUUAAGUAAACUCGCAGAAGUCUAUAGUGUUUAUAUAGACAAUGAGCAAACUGUUUAAAAUACAUCGUUACGUCAUCAUCAACUAGCAAUGUACUGAUCACCUGUUCAUACUACAUGAUUAUUGUAAACUUCAACACAUUUAUACGCCACAAACUACGAAACCCAAAUCAGAAAGGAAAAUAAAAUUCUUCUUCUUUUUACCUUUCUCUUCUCAUCAGUAAAGUCCAGUAAUAUAGGACAUUAUCACGCAAUCAAAUGCACAGACAAGGCAUUAUAAGCAAGGCAAAUUGUGGCGCGAAAUGUCCACAAGUUCACAGCUUUAAUUCGGAAAAAUGACAGGCGUCUCAAUUGACUGUAAUGCAACAAAAAUAGCGGAAACUAUCAGUUUGAAACAACUUACCGUUCACCGUAAAGACCUUAGAAACCCUAUAAGUAGAUGUGAUUGGCCAUCUCAAACACACAAGUGACCCAAAACCUGCACUUUCCUAAUCUGCAUAGGAAUUAUGCCCUAGAUACCUCUCUUAAUCACUAAUACAUGAUCAGCUCCAAUUAAACGUUCUCAACAACAGAGAAGCACGAAUGGCGCACGUAAACACUGACCCCCUCCAUUCUAUAAAAGCGAUUUUGGCAAAACUAAGCUACAUUAAGUAAGGAUCCGAUUUUGAUAUAUAAAUUGGUAAUAGAAAAGGCAAAAUCGUAGACGGUAAUUUGUAUUCUAGUUCGCAGAUGUAAAACCAGUAUCAUUACGUUUCCUAACCAAUAAAUUGUAAUUAGUUUAAUUUCCGACUAGAAGCCUUUAUGAUAAUCAUUAUGCCCAAUCCAUCGUAUUUCCAACAUACACAAAGCAACACAAAUUACAUUCUCACAUGUAAACAAAUGUAAGAAGCUGCUUAUACCAACUAAUUCCAUUAACCCAGAGUAAACAGUAAUGAAACAGAAUCAUACAACUCUAGAGAGAGAACAUGAAUCACAAGAGAUGGAGAGAGAGAGAGAGAGAGAGACCUGUGAUCCUCUUCGAGAAGGAGUCCCACCAAUCACCACUCUCCGGGCCCGACGACAUCGGCGGGGCAUCGGCGGCGGCGGAGGCGAAGGCGCUUCUCCUCUCGGGCUUCUUCUCCGCCCUCUUCCUCUUCUUGGAGCCUCUCACAGGCCCCAUGAUCGCAGCUCCCACCACCAACAACGACAGGGAGAAGCAAAUGGCCCGAUUCAGAGCUCAAAGAGAGGAGAGAUCGAAGAACACGACCCGGGAACCACAAGGCGAAGAGGAGAACCACGGGACCCAAAAGUCCCCUGCUUGGAUUAGCAUGCGCGAGGAGAGGAGUGUGGUGAGAAGAGGCAUGCAAGAGUAUGCUCCCUGGGUAGAGAGAGAAAGAAGAAAGAGAGGGAGGGGAGGGGUUGGUAGAGAGAGAAUGUUGUAGUGAGGAGGAGAUAGAGAGGGAGAGAGAGAGAGAGAGAGAAUGCUUGUAGUAUUAUUAUGAGCAUGCAAGGAGGUGUUUUUUCAUGGAUGGAUUGUGGAUUUGAGAUGGCUACAAAGGGAGGAGAGAUGCAGCAAGAGAAGAGAGAGAGAGACAGAGAGAGAGAGAGAGAGAUAGAAAGAGAGAGAGAGUGUGUGUCUUUUAGGGGCAAUUUAGCAAAUAAAACGGAGUUUGUGUAUAAUGGGAGACUUAACUGUUCGGCCCUGCUGCACAGUACAGUAUUAUUUCAUAAAAUUUCAUAAAAAUUUAGUCUAAUUGUUAUUAUUAAAACUAGUUAUAAAAUACUUAAAACUUUAUAUUGGCCAACUAUCAUAUCACCGGACUACAAUAGUUAUGAGGACAGAUAUUCGAACCUCAGAGUGCACCAAAAUUUAAGAUUUGAGCCCCAGCUUUGAAUUUAGCAUAUAUUAAGGUUUAAGAAAGAGUAUAAAAAUGAUAAGAUUAAGAACAACUUCAAUAUAAAAAAGAAUAAUUAUUAUAAAUGAAAAAACAAAAAGCAAAAUAGAGUCAAAUAGAUUUUUUAAUAUUUUCCAUAAAAGUGUACAAAAACAAAAACAUCCUCUCAACAUGCAAUUAGCAUAAUGCCCCUAUUGAGACUCUUUUUUAUCUCAUUAUGCACAAUAUAUAUCAUUGAUUUGGGAUAAAACCUGAGUGGCGUACCAGCUAUGACAAAACUUUUUUUUUUGAAAAAUUAAAGAACUUGUAUUCUACUUUGGUUUAUAUUAUAUGAUAGCAUAGUUGGAUUACUGAGGGGAGAAGAUCUAGCUAAACCACCUUCAUGUUGAUAUAUGACAAUGAGUAGAUCAAUGUCUCUAUUUAUGGAUUUGUAUAUAAUUUUCUCUAUUUUCUUGAUGCUUUCUUGAAGAUCUAAAUUUUAUAAGAAUAUAUAGAUAUGAUCUAUCUUAGGUGACAGUAUAUAUUUUCCUUUUUGGUAAUUUAUGCCCUAAGUUGGUAAUUUUCAGAGAAUUGACCCCUUAAUGAUUCUUAUAUGUAGACUUGAGGAAUGUGGAAGGUGAGAUAAGUUGAACUAGUCCUUGCGUUGAACAAUGGGUCACAAUGUAUCAGUUUUGGAUUAUUAGUAGAUUAUUUUGCAUCUGAAUCAAUUUAGUUCAUCAAUUUUGACUUGAGUUUAAUUUCGUCUUAAAAGCUCCAAUUCCGCCAAUUCAGCCUCACAUGUUAUGGCCCUAAUAUUAAUUCGGAAAAAGUACGUCGAGCUUUUCUGAACUUUAGUACGAUUACGCUUUACCAUGUAAAUAUUAAAAAUGCUAAGAAAUUUACACAAGCACAGGAACUACACUGACAAAAUCAAAAUAUGAGAAUUUCGGCAUUAAAUACGCAAUUAAUCCUUCUAAUGUUUACAUGGUUAUCACAUGGGGACAUUGAUGAGAGUUUUCAAAGUAUUUCGCUGCAGAUCAUCACAAAUCAACUUUUGAUGCCGUUUAAUGUUAGAGAUGUAAAUAUACUCAAUGGAUCAACUAGCAAUUAAUCUGAAUCUAAUUAACCCAAAGCAUUGGGUCCAGCACCCUAAUAAGAGAUUCUAAGCUUAUCAAUUUGAGUUUGGAUUUUAAAUUUGAUUUAAUUUUUGCAUUGCAUUUGUCCAAAAGUUAAACCAUGUUAGAUUUGUAUCCAGGACAAGCCCACUGGGCCUCAUUUCGACCAGAGUUUUGGACGCACAAUUGGCUCAUUGGACUCUAGUUGGGCCUUCAUGUAUAAGCCUUAAAAAAUUCCAUUGCUGCCUCAGUUUAGACAAUAUUGUACAUUCCAAGGUUCUAUUUGUCUCCUUCAUGGAGAGUGUAGUAUUAUUUGAUAUAAUUAUCCUUUUUCUAGUGUUAUUAUUAUUAAAAAAAAGAGUGUUACUUCAAAUUCCAAUAUUCAGCGCCACGGCUCGAUUUGCUUAUCUCAAUGCCUUUAGAUGAAGGAGUUAUACGAGAAACUAUCUAACCUGUGUUAAAAAUAGGUUCUCGGGAGGGUCUUAAGGUGAGGGAACUGUAGCCAACUUCAAACAGUAAAAAAAUAAAAAAUAAAAAAUAAAAUUUGUACCAUCAUAGUAUAUAAAGAAGUUUUACAUCUUUUGUUUUUAAAAUUUGUCAACUUACAAGGGGUUUUUCGUAAAGUUACAAAUCCAAACCAAGUGGAACAUGCAUGUCACGUGCGAGCGGGUGGUAAUCAUCUUGGGCGGCUGUUUCGAAGUAGUUCAGCAACGGGGAUUUAAUGCAGGAGGGGGGAUUAAAGUCAUGGUCCAUCCACUGUACAAUCAGAUAUAUGAACGAAGAGUUAGCUGCCACGUGUCCCGAUAUUUCCGUAUCAGCCUAUCAACUGCUCGUCGAGUUCGUAUAUCCUGUGUUCUUGGGAAGCUAUUGCCUGGACCUGGUCCACCACGUAAUCUGUAGGCCGCGUCGUCAUUCGCGAACUAAUUAUCUUUGCCUUCAAAUUAUACCUUACUUUUUUUUCCCUAGUAAAUUGUAACUACCAACCAAUUAAAUACUUUAGUUAUCGUAUCAGAAAAAUAGUAUAAAAAUUGUAAGCUCGUAUAUCAUUACUUAGAGGAAUUUAUUUUUUUCGAAGGGUAAAAGUGGUGUAUGAUAGAUACUUUGCGCAGUCCAUGGUUGAUGUGGUGGACCAGGUUUAAGAGUACAAUUGGGCCCACUAAUGGGCCCUGCCGAACACAUAGGGUUGUCAUGGUUUUGGGCUUUUCUCUCUGCGGCUGAUGUGGAAAAAUAUAGGUAUUUAUAAUGGACAUUAAGAAUUAAAAAUAAAUCUCGUAUCUGUACUUUCAAUUCAGCAGUCGAAUUAACUUCAUCAGAAAUAAAUUUCUAAAUAAAGAAAAGGCUAUGACUUCUCCUUUAACUCGGACUUUUUUUUUGGGCUGGGGUUGGCCAAGUCAAUUUUCACUUGCUCUGAUACAUUUUCAGCGUAGUUAAUCAUAUUAUUUUAAUCCCAAUUCAUAUUCAAAAUAAAAUACUACUGGAUUUUUCCUGGAUGAAAUAAGUCGAAAGUGAGAUUAGUUGGGUCAGGGUGGAGCUGUGUCCAUUAUGUCCAAUUUGGAAUUAACAUAUAAACAGUGUAAAAAAUUUAGAUCGAGCAAGAACGUUACUGUUAGGGAAUGCUUUGCUAGUGAAGGAUGGAGUUGAAGGAAAAUGUUAAAGAGGAUUGAUUCAGCGAUUCUAGUUUGUAACACGGCAAUACAUGAACUAAAGCUUAAGCUUGUGGAGAAAAGCACCACAAACAACUAGACGAGAUCUUACGGCGAUGGAAUGAGGGGCACAAGUUCUCAGUCAAAUUCAUAUAUAGGAUGCUUUGCAACGGGAGUAUUAGAGAUGUUUUAUCACUUAAGAACUGGGGGCUGCAAAAUUUCAUUGAAAGUGAAGAUCUUUUUUAUAGUUAGCACUUAAGAAAAGAUUCGUCACAGUAGACAAUCUACUUAAGAGAGGGCGGAUAGGGACCAAGCUUGUGUACUCUCUGUUGACACUUGCCAGACAGUUCACCAUCUAUUUUUCAGAUGUGUGUAUAGUAGCUUUUUACUGGCCUCGAUAUUCGAGCGGUCUUGACGAUGUGUGGCUUCUUUGGGAGAAGUUGGUACGAAGAGGAAACUCUCUAACUUAUGGAUUGAACGUGUUCACGCUGACGGCAAUCUGGUGAACAAUUUGGCUAGAAAGAAACAAUAUAAUGUUUGCUCAAACCCUGUGACGAUCAUUGCGAGAAUCAAGAACCUUGCAAGAUUUUUUUUUUUUUUUUGGAGAAAAAAAUAGCAUGUUAUCUGUUUCAUUCAAAAGGAAAAUAAAUUUAGCUACAAAAUAUGGAGACAGCUAAGGCCUCAAUAAAUAAGAACGUGAAACACACGCGCGCACACACACGCACGCAAAAAAAAAAAAANAAAAAAAAAAAAGAAAAAGAAAAACUAGACACCUUGCAAGAUUUUGAAAAACAUUUUGUUGACCUUUAGUUUUUUAUUUUUAUUUUUAGAAAACUAGUUGUCAUAUAUCUAUAGCCAAGUUCAUUAUUAUCAAACAAUGAAGUUGGUAGCGUGUUACCUUAUUAUUUUUUUUUAAAAAAAAUCAGGCAAUAUAACUUUGGUGGUCCACAGCUGACGUGGCAGUCCUAUUUCACGUAAAAGUUUCUCCUUAACUACGCUCACCUUACACGUCAUUCUCCCAGUUUCUCCUUAACUACGCUCACCUUACACGUCAUUCUCCCGAGUCAACACCUAGAAGCCCAGGGGUAAGCAUCGUGACGAACUGCAUGGAGUCUAUCCAUAUUUUCUAUAUUUACGCGCGGCGCCGCGUGGGAAAAGAAAAAUCCCGUGCGCGGCACCGCACGACGGCACGAGCCACCCAAACGCCGUUUACGAACCUUCCGUCGCGAAUCUCCACGUAAAUCCAACGGUCAUAUCACAUCCCACGCGUCCGACUCGCGACCGUUCCCCUGUGUCCGCGUUUCCUCUGGUGCUAAGCAAUGACUCAUCCUCCGAAGGUCACGCGAAGCUCCACUGUGAAACCGAAAAAAAGUGCGCCCAAAUACCAACCGAGUUUCGUGUGGGCCCCACCGAAUAUUUCUUACGUGUCACUCUCUGAUUGGGCCUCGCCUUUUACUUGUUCUCCAAGUCGAGCUAGUUCGAUACCUAUAUAAAGGGAACACUUGCAUAGAGUGUGACACAAACACUGCAAGAUAUUGAGCUCUAAUGAAACCUUAUAACGACUUCAAAAUAGAAGAAGAAGAAGAAGAAGAGAAGAAGCAUAAAUAUAUGGAUACAAUGAAAACGGCGAAUCUCCUUCUAUCCCUUUCAUUGGGGUCGCAUGUGAUCGGAAAGCCGCGCAAUAAGACAAAGAGAUCGAGCACUGCAGCCGCCGCCGCCGACGGUGUCUUCGAGUGCAAGACCUGCAGCCGCCGCUUCGCGACGUUCCAGGCCCUCGGUGGCCACCGCACGAGCCACAACCGCGCUCGGUCCCGACCCGACGGUUUGAGCCUGAGCCCGCGAGACGCGUCCAAGGCGAGGGUCCAUGCGUGCGCGCUUUGCGGUGCCGGGUUUGCGAUGGGGCAGGCGCUCGGCGGGCACAUGCGCCGUCACCGGGCGACCGAAGUGGCAGAUCUUAUCGGAAAAAAUAGUGCUAUGGAGAAGGUUGUGAACUUGAAUGAGAGUUCUUUGGAGGCUGGUUGUAGCGGGGGCUCCGAGUAUCGCUUGUUGGAGUUGUUCGUGUAGUAAAAUCAUUAGCUAGUGUUUUAGUUUCUGCAUAUAUGAAACAUAGAGAUUUGUUGAUUCUUUCUUCGUGAUAUAUUUUCAGAUUUUGUUUUUUUAUAUGCAUUAUCUUUUAGUAUGGUUCACGGUGUAAGUAUUGAUCUCAUUAUAGAUGUUGAUUAAUAGUUAUGAGCUUUUUUUAAGAUUGGUGUGUGUAUAUAUAUAUAUAUAUAUAUAUAUAUAUAUAUAUAUAUAUAUAUNUAAAAGAAAUAGUUAAACCUGUCCAAAAAAUUGAAAGCUAGCUAAAUUAACUAAAUUAAUUAAUCAUAGAAGUAGAAAUAUUAUGUUUUGAAUUUCCUUUACCCAAUUGCAAUAUAUUCUAUAUUCAAAUCGAGCUCAAAAUCAGCCAUGUAUAGAAGGACGUACACUUUACUAAUUAUGAAUCUUGACGAUUUGUGUGUGUAUAUAUAUAUAUAUAUAUAUAUAUAUAUAUAUAUAUAUAUAUAUAUAUAUAUAUGUGAACACGUAUUUGAGUAUAGUAAUUAAAGUCAGCCUCUAGGCAUAAGCAUUACAGUAAUCAGAUUCAAUAAAUUUAUUUAAAUCAACUCUAUUAAGUAGUAAUAUCAGUUAUGUAAUUACAGUUGAUUCACAACAAACAAAUUAAUUAAUGUUGAACUCAAUCUUGAUAAUUCAUUAAACUUAACGCUAUUAUCGUAAUUUGUAUGAACUACAUGUGAAUUUCAUGCGCUUAUAUUAAAAGAGCGACGUUUGCAGUAGUUUUGAAUGAAAAUGUGAUUGGAUAUAUAAAAGAUUUAGACACUAGUAAUAAUAAUUGGAUUUAAGUAUUUUGAGUUGGUGUUUGGGCCUAACGAGUUAUUGUUGCUAGUGGGCUGGAUCGUUACAUUUGGUAUUAGAGCCGAUUCAUCAGCCAGAAAAUGUGUGGCAAGUUUCGGCUAAGUCAGGAUUUGAAAGACAAAAUAAUAGACGAUGUCGGAGUGUGAAUGACAAAAUGACUGGCUAUGUCUGGGUUUUGAUGAUAAGGCUAGCGAGACGAGUCUCACAUCGCUUGAUGAUCUUAGGCUGUUUGUGUGUUUGGACUGACGAAGACGUAAGGACCUAUGUGUGAUGGCUCUCGACUGAGUCAGAGUCUAAAAGAUAAGAUGAUAAGCGAUGUCGGAGUCUAAAUGACAAAAUGACCAACUAUGUAAAGGUCUGAAUGGCAAAACUAGUGAGACGAGUCUCACAUCGCACGAUGAUCUUGGGUUUAGGAUCUUAACGGAGGAGUCUGUCACAUCCCAAUAAUCUCACAUCGAACAGAAAUAAAAAUUUGAUUGGAUGUAUAAGAGAUUUAGACAUUAGUAAUAAUAAUGGGUUUAAACAUUUUAGGUCGGUGUCAGCCGGUCAACUUUCUUAUGUGAACAAAGAAGAUUUGGUGACUUGUAUUCGUGCCUGUACAUCACUUAAACACGCUUCCAGGUCAGUAGUGGCCUCCAACCGCUUUGUCUAAGUCGACAGUUAUGUGGAUGUUUCCUUACAAGUCUUAGGCUCUAAUUUAAGACCAUCUGAAAAGUGGGUGGCUUACGUACAGUUAUUUUUCUAAUAAAAAUAAAACUUUCGCAAAAUCUUGCUGCCUAAGCUAUUCAUCUCCAGAAAUUCGGAUGACAUAUCUUAGCUUUAAAUUUUAAUUUAUCACCCAAACUUUCAGAAUUGAUACUAUUAAGUUUCACCAUCUAAUUUAGAUUACUAAAUAUUGAUACAUCGUUGGCGUAAAAAUAAUGCAACAUUAUAAUUAUUGAGAUAGCAUCAAUUAACUCAUUUUUUGGUUAGCAGUACUUCAAUGAUUAGUCAAUUAAUUAAAUUAGAUUCUAAACACGCACUUUAUCCUAAUUUAAAUUCAAAUAUCAAAAUCUCUCAUUUUUUUAAGAAAAUGGUAACAUUCUACCGCUUGGUUAUUGUUUUCUAAAAUUAAAUUUAACUGAAAAUAUGAAGCAAGUAAGUUUGAAAUUUGAAAACUUGAAUAAUAAUUUUCAAAUUGCUUGCCACUUGCACUAGAAAUGGACGUUUGGUAUCAAAAUAUCUGUGCUUGAAAAAUUGUGGGUUGGUUCUUGGGUGAAGGUGUGGACCCGGUUCACCGAAUGAAAACAGUCGUCGGCCACCGCGGCGCGAACCGCGUAACGCAAUAUUUCUGCGGUGUGAAAACGCUGAACCCGCGGAAAAUGACCACGAAGCAAAUUAACCCAUCUACACGUUUGAAACCUUCUUGUGGGCUCACAUUACCCCGAUGUCACAUGUCUCGUCCUGAUUGGACAAAUUCUCCAACUUCCUCCCCAAAAGACUGGUCCACGAACAACGUGGCACGUCCUAAUUGGUGGAGUUCCCUUGCUUCCUUUCCAUGCAAAAAAAAGUCUAAAAUACACCAAUUAUAUUACUGAUAAUACGAUUAAUCUUUUUGGAUUCACUUUGUUCCAUCAUGGUUAUUAGAAUUUUUUUUUAUUAUAUUUUUCUCUCAAGUAGAGAAAUAUGAUUGAUUUGUUAUUGAUAAUAUAGUGUAAGUGUUACAUUGUAAGUUUUCUUAACUACAACAUGCAUGUAGUUAUUGAGAACUGAGGAACCAAAUACAAAUGUGCAUGUAUAUCAACCCCUUUCUUUUGAGUAAUAAUAAUAUGUUUAGAGCUCGAUUUGAAUCACAGGAUUCACAGCAGAGGAGAAAAGGAAGAGAAAAGAGCAGUUUGAAACAAACAUUCGUGAAUAUCGCUUGCUGGAGCAGUUUCUAUAGGAGUUUGAUGCGAUGCAAAUUCUUUUAUAAUUAAUUAGAUUUGUUGUUUUGAUCCUUCGUUUUGUCGCUCGAGUUCUAAAAGUUUGAUGUGAUAAAACAUGAACUCAAGGAAUAGAUAUAGAAACCGUGAAGUACAGCGUAAAAUCAGCUUUACUCUCGCGUUUUAUCUAUCUAUAUCUAUAUAUAAAAAAGCAAUUAAUAGGAUGAAAAAUGAUGUAGAGAAAAUCUCAGAACAGGGUGCAAGAAUUUAAUAACAAUUAUCAAAACAUGUUAAUUUGAUGAUGGAUGUAGAGCUACUAAAAUCAACAAAUUAAGGAAUAUAUAUAUAUAUAUAUAUAUAUAUAUAUACACAGCAUGAAAUAGAUUUCUCUCUCCGAUCUUCUUUUCGCGUUCCCUUUCAAUUUCUUAAAUAUCAUGAACGCAUCAACUGAUUCAGUAUAUGGAAUCUCAGAUAAUAAUAUUUCAGACAACAUUGUAAAACUGCGAAAAAACAUGAACUUAUAGAAUCUCACUGAAAUUCAAUUACGCAAGGCUAAAAGAAGCAUGCAUGAUGCAUCUGCUUCAUACAGAUAGUUAACUCAUCCAACAUUUCCAAUCUAGUUAGUAUUCGGUGUUGCGCUUUCACUCUCAAAUAGCUCAAAUUUUCUUUAUUGUUUCGCCUUUUCCUGUCAUUUAAAAAUUUUCAGCUACCUAGUGAAUCUCUCGCCCACAUUUGCGCUGCGCGCGAUGGGAAUGUACCCUUCUUUCGUCGUCCUCGGCUUUCGCGGCAUGCAUCCAGCAUCUGCACCCUCAGUUCCCUUACAAAACUCAAGUUUCACCCCACUGCUAUGCAGAAUUUUGUGAAGAAGUGGUCGGUUUGAUUAACUUAAACAACAAAAACAGAAAAAGAAUAGUUUCCGCGCCAACUCUUUAUUCGGAGUACUCCAUCAUCUUAUUCAUGCAAUUUUUGUCUCUCAUUUCUAAUCUCAUCUUCCUCAAGUGCGUUACUUUGAGAACAAACACACUGCAGGUUCAUCAAAAGUAAAUUGAACGGCGAAACAAAUGCCGAAAGAAACAGAGAGAGCUUGAACUUUACCUAUUGACAUUGCAAGACGAUGAUCUCUUCAACAGUGAGAGUUCUCCUGCACCAUUUUCUCCGAUGCUCUUCGCCUCAAUCGAGCUCCCACCGUAGUACUCCACAGAAGAAGCAGGAAUGUUAUUUACUGCUUCUUUCACCGACACUGAGCUGCAGGGGAUCAGAUUCAUUAGGACCGUCGAAGCCCUGAACCUGCCGCUCAAGCAACCGCCUGCCGUCCGAUCCCCGUCGACCCGCGCAGUCGACGAGGCUGUUUUGAGGGGCGGUGGAAGCGCCUCCGGGCUCGACGACAAGCACGGCGGCGGCGAGAUCUCCUCCCUCCGGAGCUCCGCUCGACAGUUAGAGUAGUCGGCAAUGCAAUCCUCUCGCGCUCUCCACGGCGGUCUCUCCUCCGUCUGCGUCGACGCGUCGGCCGAUCCGACAGCCGUCUCCGCCGUUAGCCCACGAGAGUUCGGCACUGUAUCGGUUUUUCGCGAAUUGUGGAAGCCGAGAUCGCCUCUGAUGGAUUUGGAUGCGUCGAGAGGCUUCUCCGAGCUGGACGAAGAGGAAGCGGUCGCGGUGACCGAAGACGAGGCGGCGGUGGGAACGAGCUCCGUCCCCUUGAGCACGUACUCGUUGCUGUGGAUCGGAGGGAUCAAAUCGUCGUCGGAGAGGUCGUGCCACACAUAUCCGUUCUUGUAGGCUCUGAAUCAAACAGUUGGAGAUCAUCAACGAAGCAAGGGAGAUAAGAACUUCAUGUGUAAAGAUCUUCUCAAACAUUUUUCUAUUUUGACAUGCCUCCUCAACUUUGAUUUUUUUAAAAAAAAUUUAAUUGACAUUUUCUAUUGAUAUCGUUUUUCCAUUUCAAAAUGGCAAAUAAUUAAUAGUUUAGAGAGUGUUGAUUUUUAUUAAUUAAUCAAUCCAGCAGUUAAUUAACCAGUCAAUUAAUUAAGUAAUUAAUUAAUUAAUGUUACCGUUUGGAAGACCAGGAGUACAUUGCCCCCAACCACUGUCCCCUGAGAACGUUGAGUCGGUUGAUAAAAUCUGAGGAGAGAAAUGUAAUUAACUAAGGAAUUAGUGACAAAAAAAAAAUUAAUAGCUAAUUUUUUUUUAAAAAAAUGGAACUUUUUUUUUUUUGUUGUUCCAAAUUUGGUGAUUAAUGUUUAAUACCUCUGAGAAAGAGACCUUCGUCGGAGGAGUAGGUGACUUCCAUGUAGUGGGGAUGCUCCAAGUGAUUGUUCCUUGAGAGGUAGUAGACGACGGCCGCGACCGCCACGGCUUUUUUCUUAUCCGAUGAUCUCCGCGGCGGCUUCGGCUCGAUCCACACCUUCGCCCUCUCCGGGCUCGCCUCCGCCCGCUCCCUCUGAUCACCGGGGAGCUCCGCGCUUCCCCGAGAAGCAGAAGCAGAAGCCAUGGAAAUUAAGAGAGAAAGAGAACAAGUUGUUAGUAGAAGAAGAGCGAGUGAAAUAGGAUUAUAGGGGGUGGGGGAACAUUCAAAUCGGGAGGGGGCGGGACAAACCGAAACUAUUGCAUGAACCCGGUGCGCCGUGCUCCGUACUUGUGAAACCUUAUCGUAAAGGUUUUAGAACUUUGUAUUUAGUUUAUUUGAUGUGUUAUAUGAUAUUCGAAAGAUAAAUUUACCAGAAAAGUGUAAAUUUUAAACAUCAUUUCUCAUCCAACAAACAACUUUUUUUUUAUCGUUAAUUUCCAAAGCAAUUUAAUGCCUGAAUGAUAGUCUUCUAGGCACCGUUUGGUUCGGAUAUAAGUAAGAACUAGUUAUUAUAGGGAUAGGUACAAGUAUGGGAAUAAGAAAAAUAACGUUUGGAUGAAAAUUGGAUUGUUUACGGUGAUAAAAAAAAAAUAACGUUUAGAUAGAUAAUAUAAAAUAAGAAAAAUAGUGAAUAAUUAUAUAUAGAAAAUAGAGGUGUUGAUGGGGAUAAUUAUACCUGAUUAUUAUAGGUAACCGAAAAUUACUAUUCUCGAAUAAAAAAUUAGCGUUUGGAUAUAAAAGGAAAAUAAGGAGUUAUUCCAUCAUUAUCUCCAAUCCAAACGCAACCCUAUCUUUUUGUACGCAUGUUCUUUACAUGUUAAUGUUUAUAUUUUGACAGGUGCUUUACUAAUCUUAACGCUUUUAACUUAUUUUAAGAUGCUUAUUAUCUAACAUUGCGUGUGGUUCAUGAAUAAUCAUGGGUACGUACACCUGGUGUUUUUCAAACUUUCUAUUAUUCCGAUUAAAAAAAAGGGUAAAGUUAAAAAGGGCGAGAAUGGAAUGGAUCAAAUGAUAGUGUUGCAGGGAGCAUGAUAUUUUUGUAUGACUUUAUAUCAUCCUAAUACUUUUUAAUUUAACUAUUACUAACUCCAACGGUCUAGUGAGUUUGAGUUUGACUGAGGAUAAGAAGGGGGAGGAGAAAAAGGGCGGGCCACAUUUUCAAACAAACUGUAGCUGUUUGGUAAAGUGGAUUAGAGAUGGAGUUGUACCUCACAACAUUAGUUUGAUUUUGGACAUCAAUAACAGUGCCUCGUUGUUGGAGCCCAAAAGUCAAAAUGUACAGAAACCCAACCACUCCAAAAUUAGUACACCACUACAGUAUUGACCUCGAACCUCUCAUAAAACAUUACUGAUACACUGACCUGCACAUAGAAUAUGCAGUAACUAUUUUUUACGUGGGACAAUUGCUUAUGUAUUUCUGAAAAAUUUUCGACUUUUCGAUUUGCACCUCUUAGAAGACUAAUAUUGAAAAAAAAUUUUCUUCGUUCCAACCUAUUUCUAAUAUACUCUUAUAGUUAAAAUCUGUUAAUUAAGUCUGUUAUCUCUGUAAAAUUAUUAUUUUAUCCUUUCAAAUAUGUUUUUCCACCGUCAUUGACUUUUUUAUUUACCCUUAAAGUCAGGGAUAUAAAAAGUAUUUUGACUUUUGAUCUUUUCUAAUGUACUCCUCUACCGUCACCAAUAUUUCUUAUUUGCCCUUAAGUUAAGUGUAAAAUUGACAUUUUAAUUUUUUUAAACCGUGGUAGAUAUUUAACUCACGUUUAACCCAAGUUAACUUAACAGGAGAUAACUUCGGGGGUAUUUUGCAAUAACGGUGGAAUAUAUGAGGGGUAUUUUAGAAAGACAAAAAAAAAUAAAGAUAAAUCGGAUAUUUUCAAACGUAUGAGAGGUUUGUAGGCAAUUAUCCCUUUUUACAAUAGCGUCGUCAACACAUCAAAUAUCGUUUGGUGUAUAGUAAUCAAAUUAAUGAGCCAGGAAGAGUAAUGCUUCGAGCAUUUAAAUUAAUGUUAUAAAGUAUUGAUAAUUAGUCAGUAUUAUACAUAUGACAAAUAUUAGGUAACUAGUAUUUUUUAGACUUUAUCUCGUAUCAAGUGUUUUAGCUGAAGUAAGUAAAAUGAAAUAAAACACUGAUGAACGAAUCACUUGUUGAUGCGUAGACGGAUAGACGAAUACCGUAACAUUGUGGGGUACCUUCUGGGGUGCAUGUUGCAAUUACUCAGCUACAUAUCUGGGGACUCUGAUUGUCCUGGGUACGUUUGACUUGUAUAGUAUCCUACUAUUUUUAUCACUAGGUGAUUGAUUCUCUCACACCCAGAUUAAAAGAACCUUGCUCCAGAUCCAGAUCUGCACAAAAUCCACUGAAGCAAUUCCACUGAUUCUACUGUUGAAGUGAAACACCACAAUAUACAAAUGUAAUCCAUUCUAUUUAAUUCAAUGUCCCCUCAUUCAAGCUAUUAAAUAUUAAGAGGAGUUAGGUGAAUUUUGAAAGUUGCCAUAUUUGUAAGCCUUUGAAUCUUUAGUUUUGAAGCACUUUAGAAAAAAGAUUUGUGUAGAGUAAAGAGGGGAGGGGACAAGGAAUCAGAUGAGCAUAUAACGACAAUGCUAUUUAUCAAUAAAGGAUUUAUGAAUUCAAAUGGUGCAAAAGAUAAUGAUCUGAAUCAAUGAGAAACCUACUCCCAUGAUGCUUUAAAUAAAUAGUUGCUGGACCUCAUAAAUGACUCUUCAUAUUACCAUCAAUAGUCCAAUAAGUCAUUCCACCUAGCUAUGCUUGAUUUACAAUUACAAAUUGAAAUAUGACACCUCUUGAGAUAAGUUGAAAAUCUGAUUUUUAUGUAAAACUGUUUUGAGUAAACCAUAAGGCUAGCUCCUUUGAUAUUAGGGGAAGAAUGCGUUACGAAUGAUCAGAAAGUGCGAUGAAAAAAUAUAGUUCAGUCGCUUCCGUUAAAAAUAUAGCACUUUGUGGAUCGCAAUGAUCCAGUUACGAUAUUAUUUUCGUAAUUCCAUAAGAAAAUAAAAAAGUAUAUUUAUGUAUAGUCUUCAACUUCUUUUGGUUCAACAGAGUAAAGUAGUUCUCAAUACAAAACGGGCCUAAGACAAAUCAUGGGACUUAUUUUGCAUAUGUAACUAUACAUUAUGAGCAGUAGUACCUGUUACCAUAUCUCAACUCAUUUUAUAAAAUUUUACAUUUUGAUUCAAAAUUUUCAAACCAAUUUGAGAUAGUGGUGAAGCAUUAAGUGACAAUUUUUUUUUUUUUUGAGUAAAAACACUAAGGGAGUGUUUGGAUUGACGAAUCUCUAGAUCCAACAUAACUUAAAUGUAGUGGUGUUGGAGUUUUCCUAAAAUAUAGUUAUUUUUUCGUUGUCUAUUUUGAUGUAAUUCAUACAAUCUAAAAAUUAAAUUUAAGCACUUUUUGGCUUGUUCUGAUGUAAUUUGAUGCUAGAGUAACUAGUUUUUUGAGUUCUGUUGUUUAUUUUGAUGUAAGUAAAUAAAUUUUAUUACCUUCUAAAUGUAGUGAUAAAUUUAUUCUCAUAAUAUCCAAAAUAUUAAAUAAUUAAGUUCUCCCUUAAUAUUUAAAGGUAAUUCUAACCUAUUGUAAAGAAAGUUGAGUUUAGGUUUAAAUAUUUAAUUAAUUUUUGAGAAAAAUGUCGAGUGCAGUGAAAAUUGAGUUCGGCACUCUAGAGGAGAAAGUUAAAAAUAGAUGAAGUAGAGAUCUAACGUAACUUGAGUUAUAUUAUUGUUUUAACUUAUACCAAAAUAAAUACCGAAAAUAAUGAAACUUGAGUUUCACCUUUUUACUUCAAAUUAAACUGCUCAUAAGUGAGAAUUAAUAUGGGCUUUCAUGAAGAGAUUAAUUGAGACAGGCCAAAAAUGCAGAGUUUUUUUUUUUUUUUUUUUGGGUUACUUCCAAUUUCUUUUAUCUGUCACUGUCACUUCAAAUGAGAAAUACAAUAGCAUAAUAAUCGUGCAAAAAUUAAGGAAAAAAAAUAAACAGAAAAAAGGCAAAAAAACUCGACGAAAAAAAUCUUCUCCUUAUUGAGCUCGACUCAAGAUUAGGAUGAUCCGGCUCAAGUUCGAGUCGAUUAGAUAACAAACUCGAGCUCGAGCCUAAAAGUUACGAUUCCUCUUAAUAGUCCCACAUCGGCCACAAAACACGAUUACAGAGUGUGCGCACUAUAAAUAGAGGACACCCCCCAACGUUUAGUUUCAUACCUUUCUCGGCCUUUUGGCUAAGAUCAAGUGUAGUAUCUGUUCUUAUCAGUUUAAUAUCUGAUACGUGGGCCAUGUGCCCACCUCGAUAUUAAAUUAAUUUUUCAGUGGGGGAGGGCCCAUCGACAGUAGCUUGCUACUGGGGCUCUCGUGCGUCGCCCUCGCGUUGCACUACUGCGUGGGCCUGGCGCACCCCUACCAAAACUUAAGCCACAAAUCAUUCGACCUUGUGUAGGGCCUAAAAUUAUAAGGGCUCUUAAUCUAAUUUUACAUUUGAAUCCCUAGCUUAUAUUGAGUUUACAAGAAAAAUCCCGAAGUUCGGUUGUGUUUGUUUCACCAGGGUGAAGUGAUUUUCAAUUUACUUUUCUUGUUUGGUUCACAAUAACUUUUCUUUCGUAGAAAUUGUAAUUUUUGUAAUUUUCGAAAAUAUCGUAAUUGACUUUGGUCUAUCCUCAAGCUAUAGUUAAUUACAGUUAAUUACGACUUCAUCAUUCACUUUAUGCCGUACAAAUAAGUACAAAUAAAUACAAGUACAAAGACUUCAGUUCUACAACUAUACAAACAAAUAACGAGAUAAAUAAUUUUUAUAUGAAUUCUACCUUAUCAAAACGUCUAUUUCAGUAUGAAUUACACCUUUAGUGAAAACAACGCAGCCGAGGCCGGGUUUAAUUGGAUUACUUUUGGGGUGCGUUUGGUUCGCGCUAUCUUUUAAAAAUUUCUAGUAAUCCAAUGGAAAUGAAAAAAUAUGACGGUAUUUGGUUAAACGCACUAAGUAAUUUAGUUGGUAAUAUUGAAUUCACUUGGGAAUAAGAUUCACCCCAAACUACUAAUCUCAUUCCCUUGAGGGAGGGUGGGUAUCCUCAUAUUAAUGGAUUAAGGUAAUCAUAAUAUGUCUAAUAUCUUUCUUUUUUCCUACCCGCCGGUUAAUUGAUAUUAUUUUUCUUUACACUCUAACCUUAUAUCUCUCUCUAAACUUAUUUUUCUCUCUAAAAUUUAAUUUACUUUUGGUAACAUUAUCUAAAAUUAAUUAAUUAAAUAAAUUAAUUAAUUGUAUAUUUUUUGUAAUAUUAAAUAACAUGGCUAAUUAAUAUUAUUGUGCGAACCAAACACAGAAAUUUCACAUUCUUAAUAAUAGGAUGAAUAGGAAUAAGAUUCUCGGAUAUCUUUUAUUUCUAGUAAUCUUCCAUAAUGCGAACCAAACGCACCCUUAAGCCCAUAUCACUUUCCCUAUUGGGCCUUUAUGGGCUUAUCGGCUACCAUUGGGCUCGGGAUCUUUGGGCUCUGUUUGGGUGUUGACUCAAAGUUAAUUUAAAGAUUUAAUUUUAGUUAUAAAUUAUUUUUCGGUUGAAUUUAGCCAAUUUACAGAAAAACCAUUCACCUUUGUUUAAAUAAACUUUGACCAAAUGUGAGAAAUUUAGUUUUUCUGUUACAGUAUUAGCCCUCAUUUUUUUUUAGGGUGAAAAUGUAUAAGAUUUAUUUAGACUUUUUAUAUAUUAUUAUCUUAAUACCUAACGUUUAAAAUUUUCGAUUUUACUAUCCAAUCUUUCAAUUAGACUCUUCUAUUACGGAAUUUGAAGUAAGGCUCAUUUAAUUUGAAAAAUAAUAACAUGAAUAGCACGUAACAUCCAAAGCAAAUGUGAUUUCUGAAGUAAAAGAAUCAUCAAAUAACUCAAAUUAAAUAAAUUGAAAUGUUAAAUAGUAAUAUUAAAACUUCUAAAAAUUAGACAGUACAUAAUUAAAAUGGGCAUGGUUUAUAUUUUGAAACUUAUCUUUUCCCAGUUUAGUUAAAUUAAAAUAAAAUUUUAAAUCUCUUGUUAGGUAGGUGCAAUAUUCUACAUCCUAUAUAGAGAAUGAGAAGAGAUGCAUACAUAGCAUUUUUUUUUUUUUGGGUUCAGGUUUCGUUUUUCUCAUUUGACACUCUUUAAACACCUCCACACGUUUCUUCUAUGCCCACAUAAGUACGGCCAUGCGAUGCACGUGGGACACCACGUUGUCGCCACGUGCACUGCUCGUGUUUGCUUAGGUUUUACACGAGUGGAGUGUCAAAGUCUAAGGUGAGGUGGAAAUACAAUGGAAUGUGAUCCAUGUGCCCAAAAUGUAGUAACACAGAACACCAUGGGAAACUUCAAAUACCCCCAUUGUGGCUUUGCACUUUUUCACUUUAGUAGUAUUUUUUUAUUUUAGUACCUUAUGGUUUAAAGUGUAUCAAAUUAGUAUUUUAUAAUUUCGCACUUUAUCACUUAAGUACCCUAUGGUUUCAAAUGUAUCAUGUUAGUACCAUAUGAUUUUAUUUUUGUAUCAAGUUAGUACCCUGUGGUAUCAUUUUUAUAUCAAGUUAGUACCAUGUGGUUUUAAUUUUUUUUUUAUUAUUCAUUUCGGAAUAUAUAAUUUAACGAAAUAUUAAACCACAGGGUACUAAAGUGAGAAAGUACGAAACCACAUGGUACUAACUUGAUACACUUGAAACCACAGGGUACAAAAGUGAGAAAGUACGAAACCACAGGAUACUAACUUGAUACGCUUUAUGCCACAGGGUACUAAAGUGAAAAAGUGCAAAACCACAUGGGGGUAUUUGAAGUUUCCCCUAAAUAAAGCUUAUUAUAAGGAAUUUUUUUUUUUAAACCAUGCUUAAGAUAAGCAUCUCCAAACAGUUGUACUAUUAUUAUAUAUUAGAUACCGACACUUCAAAAAAUAGCGUCAUAUAAUUUCUUCAAAUUAUUAUUUAAUUUUCUGACGCCUAAAAUUAUUUGGUUUUAAAAAAAUUAUGACACUUUAAAGUGCUAUAAUAUAUCUCACCAACGAAUGACAAAAGCGUCAAUAUAUACGCGCACGACUCAUAUAUGCCAAUGCUUUCUAAUACGACGAUCUAUUAAUUUGGGACAAUUUUACACAUCGUUAAAUACUGGAAAAAAAAUCUGUAAAUAUUAUUUUUCUUAGAGUGCUUGUGGCUGCAAGUUUUACCGUGGGAUGUUAAUUCUCACCAUUUCCCUCGGCCUAAACCAUACUAAUCAAAUACUGAACUAAAAAGAUGAUUGCAGUUGAAAAUAAAAGCCGAAAUUUUGUUGAACGGAUGCUACCCAUUUCGUUUAUUUCAUAUAAAUAAAUUUAGUUGGAGUUGUGAAUCAACUAGGAUUCGAACUUGGGAUCUCGAAUACCAACCAGCAAACUCUUUGCCACGCUCUAGGUACGGUCGGUAUGCUUUUACAGUUAAUUCAACUGUAUGGUAUUUUUUUAGAAAAACUUUUCUUAAUUUUCUCCUUAAUUUAUAUUAAAUUAGUGAUUAAAAGUGAAGUAUAGCUCUACUAUAUCAAUUCAUCAUGCCUUCAGAAAAGAAAAAAAAAAAAAGUAAUUGAGAACAUAAAUUAUGAAAUAGAUUCCAAAUCAAAUACAUUGAUGAGCGCGGAUGAGAUUGAGCUUACAAUGUUUAUUUUGUUGGUGCGUCUUUCAUUUAAAGUUUGACUUAAAGUUGUGAUGUUUGAUUUUAAAAAAUUGUGUCACCAAUACUCCACCUAAACUUUUUCUCUAUGAAUUUAUUGUCCAUACAGAAAACCAAUUUAUCGCAAUUAAUAAUGCCGAUCGAUCCAACGAAAUCCAAUAAUUAAGAUUAAUCUUCAAUUUGGUUGGAUGGUAAGAUUAAUCAUGUAAUGCCGAAUUUUUUUUUUUUGAGAAAGAGGUAGCAAGCUACCUGCUUCAUUCAUUAAGCAAAAUGAAUUUAGCGUACAUGAUGGAGGCAGCUAAGGCCUCCUAGCGGAACCGGCAAAGCGAAAAGAAACAGUAAGAGAACAGUACAGAUAAGUAGACAAGAGCACCGACUCGAGAGAUUAAAGAGCGAUCACGGGUCUAGUGCCUCGGUCCAUGCCUUCAAUAACGCGACGACCCUUCCAAUUGCUCGGGUAGCAUCCGGGGUCUCCUCGCUGAAGACGAUUUUAUUGCGCUCCGUCCAAACAACCCACCAGAUUGCCGCCAAACGUGUGAGCCUUUUCGUUCUGUGCAUUGCUGAAUUUCAUGAACGUGGAGUUUGCUGGUCUAUUAUUGUAUGAAAAAUGCUAUAUGUACAGCUCUAUAUAGGUAUAAAUUUUACAUCUCUGUAAUCUUAUAAUUUAUAAAAAAUCAAAUGAAUUUUAAUAAUAGUAAUAAUAAUAAUAGGCCUUUUUGCAUAAAAAAUCUACUUAUUUUGGGUUUCUGCAAAAUCGGAUCACCUUUUUCGUUUUUGCAGAUUCGGUCCGCUUUUUCAGCAAACUGACCAAAAUACCCUUAUUACUUUUUCUCUUUCCUCUUUCCUCUUUCUCUCUCCUCCUCUUCGUUUCUGUCGUUCUUUUUUUUUUCUCGCCGAAAAAAAAAGAGGCGGACCGGACCGUCGCCUUCUUCUUCACCGUCGCCUCCCUCCUCACCCUCCUUUUUUAUCGUUGCCUCCCUCCUCACCCUCAUCUCCACCGCCCGCGACCCCCUCCUCCUCUCCCCUGCCGCCGCCGCUGAGCCCACCCCCACCGUCGUCUCCGUCGCCGUCGCCGAGCCCACGGCCAUGGCGGCGGCGGCGAAGGCGGAGGAGCGCGGGGGGGAGGGGAAGGGGUCACACGACUCCAUGGCCAUCACCGCGCUCUUCUUGAACGGCACCGCCCCGCCGUCCCCGUCGUCGUNNNNNNNNNNNNNNNNNNNGCGUCGCCGAGUAUGGAGCCCGUGUCGGCGCCGGGGAGCUCAAAGAAGAGGCGGUCGACGUGCGCCGACGACUUGAUGCCGCGUAUCACGCUCUCCGACGACUCGCCAUUGUACUACUCGUCGUCGGACGGCGCCGUCGACAGGCUGGUCAUGUCCCGAUCGCGCCCCUCGUCCGACGAGUUGGUGAAGCGCGACUCCGGCGAGUCCGGCCGGUACACCGAGUUGGCCGUCUUGUACAUGCAACCCGACGACGGCUCGACGGAGAAGAAGACGACGGCGAAGAAGAAGGCCUAAACUGGAUGCGGAGGCCGAGGCGGAGAAGAAGACGACGGCGAAGAAGAAGAUGGGGAGGCCGAGCGGCAGGGCGCAGAAGGGGGAGGUGGAGGCGGAGGCGCAGCCGGCGCCGGCACCGACGUCGGGCGUGUUCUUCUCCGUCGGCGCCGCCCCUCCUCCCGCUGCCGCGCAGAAGCUGCCGACUAGCAAAUGGUGUAAUGGUGUAAAUGGUGUAAUGGUGUAAUAGUGUAAUGGUGCAAAUGGUGUAACGGUGUAAUGGUGCAAAUAGUAUAAUGGUGUAAUGGUGCAAAAUUGUAAUGGUGUAAUGGUGCAAAUGAUGUAAUUGUGUAAUGGUGCAAAAUGGUGUAAUGGUGUAAUGGUGCAAAAUGGUGUAAUGGUGUAAUGGUGCAAAUGGUGUAAUGGUGUAAUGGUGUAAUGGUCCCCACUCCUCGCUAGCGCCGGCUGCGCCUCCGCCUCUCUCUCUUGCGCCUUGCCGCUCGGCCUCCCUUUCUUCUUCUUCGCCGUCNCUUAUGGUUUAAAGUGUAUCAAGUUAUUAUUUUAUAAUUUCGCACUUUAUCACUUUAGUACCCUAUGGUUUCAAAUGUCUCAUGUUAGCACCAUGUGGUUUCAUUUUUGUAUCAAGUUAGUACCCAGUGGUUUCAUUUUUAUAUCAAGUUAGUACCAUUUGGUUUUAAUUUUCUUUUUUUAUUAUUCAUUUCGAAGUAUAUAAUUUAACGAAAUAUUAAACCACAAGGUACUAAAGUGAGAAAGUACGAAACCACAGGGUACUAACUUGAUACAUUUGAAAAGUACGAAAACCACAGGGUACUAACUUGAUACACUUUAAACCACAGGGUACUAAAAUAAAAAAGUGCGAAACCACAUGGGGGUAUUUGAAGUUUUCCCUAAAUAAAGCUUAUUAUAAGGAAUUUUUUUUUUAAACCACGCUUAAGGUAAGCAUCUCCAAACAGUUGUACUAUUAUUAUAUAGUAGAUACCGGCACUUCAAAAAAUAGCGUCAUAUAAUUUCUUCAAAUUAUUAUUUAAUUUUCUGACACCUAAAAUUAUUCGGUUUAAAAAAAAAUUUGACACUUUAAAGUGCUAUAAUAUAUCUCACCAGAAAAUGACAAAAGCGUCAAUAUAUACACGCACGACUCAUAUAUGCCAAUGCUUUCUAAUACGACGAUCUAUUAAUUUGGGACAAUUUUACACAUCGUUAAAUACUGGAAAAAAAUCUGUAAAUAUUAUUUUUCUUAGAGUGCUUGUGGCUGCAAAUUUUACCGUGGGAUGUUAAUUCUCACCAUUUCCCUCGGCCAAAACUAUACUAAUCAAAUACUGAACUAAAAAGAUGAUUGCAGUUGAAAAUAAAAGCCGAAAUUUUGUUGAACGGAUGCUACCUAUUUUGUUUAUUUCAUAUAAAUAAAUUUAGUUGGAGUUGUGAAUCAACUAGGAUUCGAACUUGGGAUCUCGAAUACCAACCACCAAACUCUUUGUCAUUUGCUCUAGGUACGGUCGGUAUGCUUUUAUAGUUAAUUCAACUGUAUGGUAUUUUUUUAGAAAAACUUUUCUUAAUUUUCUACUUAAUUUAUAUUAAAUUAGUGAUUAAAAGUGAAGUAUAGCUCUACUAUAUCAAUUCAUCAUGUCUUCAGAAAAGAAAAAAAAAAUGUGAUUGAGGACAUAAAUUAUGAAAUAGAUUCCCAAUCAAUUGCAUUGAUGAGCGCGGAUGAGAUUGAGCUUACAAUGUUUAUUUUGUUGGUGCGUCUUUCUUUUAAAGUUUGACUUAAGGUUAUGAUGUUUGAUUUUAAAAAAUUGUGUCACCAAUAUUCCGCCUAAACUUUUUUUCUAUGAAUUUAUUGUCCAUACGGAAAACCAAUUUAUCGCAAUUAAUAAUGCCGAUCGAUCCAACGAAAUCCAAUAAUUAAGAUUAAUCUUCAAUUUGGUUGGACGGUAAGAUUAAUCAUGUAAUGCCGAAUUUCAUGAACGUGGAGUUUGCUGGUCUAUUAUUGUAUGAAAAAUGCUAUAUGUACAGCUCUAUAUAGGUAUAAAUUUUACAUCUCCGUAAUCUUAUAAUUUAUAAAAAAUCAAAUAAAUUUUAAUAAUAGUAAUAAUAAUAAUAAUAAAAUUAGAGAAUAAAAAGAAUUUUUGGAUGAACUGAGUAUACGUGUUACACCUAGCCCGUAUGCGUAUGUCGAGUCCAAUAGCUCUAUUUUUUUUUUUUUUUUUUUUUAUAUUAUAAAAUAGACCUCUAUGUACGGACUAAAGACCACCUUAGUUGAUGUCACACAAUUCUUCUGGUCAUUAUUUUAGCAUGUCACUAUAAGACGGUUCCUUGACUAUAUCAUCAUUAGAUAUUAUUAUUAUUGUUAUUAGGAAAAGCUUCAAAAAUCUCCUUUGUGAUUUCCUACUUUUUCACUUUUUCACUUUAGUAUCAUGUGGUUUAAAGUGUAUCAAGUUAGUACCCUGUAGUUUCGCACUUUCUCACUUCAGUACCAUGUGAUUUCGCACUUUCUUACUUUAGUACUCUGUGGUUUAAUAUUUGGUUAAAUUAUAUAGAAAAAACUUUAGAUAUCUUAUCUAAGUUUAUCGAAUAUUUAUUUUAGUACUCUUUAGUUGUAAUUUUGUUAUUGAUUUAAUGANGACAGAAACGAAGAGGAGAAAGAAAGAGGAAACAGAAAAAGUAAUAAGGGUAUUUUGGUCAGUUUGCUGAAAAAGCGGACCGAAUCUGCAAAAAUAAAAAAAGUGACUCGAUUUUAUAAAAGUUCAAAAUAAGUGAAUUUUUUAUGCAAA
rnacentral:lncRNA from 1 species